CCUAGACACCCUCAUGAGUUCAGCUAAGUGAGAGAAAUUAAAGACAAAAGCGGAGGAGCCACUUCAAAGUGUCAUAAGGACUGUAGUUGGACCAGUUCUGCCCCAUAAGAAGGGAAGAAAGCCUUCAGCCCUCUCUGUAAAUGUCCUGAUGCUUCCCCUGAGGGGGAGUUUUACACCUGAGGUUCAUCAGGGGGACACUGGCAUGAAAAAAAGCAUUAUCCCACCUUGCAGGAUCUGUUUCUUGUUGCCUUUUUCCCUUAUCAGGCUCAAACCCCAGACACCUCAUUCUGUGCCUUCCUUAACUCUUUUGUGGAUUAAUGCCUUAAUAAACAGAACUGAACCUUUGUCACCUUUGAACAUGCACCUACACAGCCUAAUUACCUUGCUCUUCUGGAACCCAUUCGUUAACACUGGAUGGAAAGGAGGCAGUCUGAUUUUCAUUCCAGUAACGAGUUUCAAGUACUGACAGCAAAUAUGGAAAUAUGACUUUAUGUUGCACUGAGAAAGCAGCAUUAAAUUCUUCCUCUUUUUCUGGGCUGUGUAUCAUCCUGGCUCAUUCUGCUGCAUAAAUUAAAGAGUUGAAGAAAAAGAUUUCUUUCUGAAAAAACCCUCACACUUCAAUACUUAUAUACCAGAGCUCCGUAAUGUGACACAACUCUUAUUUAACCUCUCUAAUAUGAUGCAUUUAAAGGAAGAAUGCCUGCAGCUGAAUUUAUUAGGUGAAAUAUGGAGUUUAAGGGAGGGGUUUUUUUUCCAAUAAGUGUCUUAUGGCUUCUAUUUCACAAAGUGAUGUAAUAUUUGUCAAUUCGGGUGUGUGUUCGUCUUUAUUCAGAUAGAGAUGCUAAAAUUUGACCAGGAAUUGAAGUUAACUUUAAAACAUUCUGACUUAAUACAAAUGUGCAAUUGCCAAUGUAAUGCAAUAUCUAAUUGCAGUCUAUCAUAGCAUAUCAUGCCAUUCAUAAAUUAGCUUAAGAAAAUGAAGGCACUACUUUCAGAGAAUAUAUUGGACCACGAUAUAAAUGAAUAGUCAUUAGGACCAUGUCCAAAAGAGCAAAUUAAAGCCUAAUGCCCAAGUGUGGGAUGUGAGGCAUGUCAGUCUGAAACUGUGAUCUCAAACCUUCACAGUCACUUGGGUUAGCAAGCAUAGUCCCGGAAGUGAUGUUCUUGCAAAGGGGUGCUUACA